rnacentral:rRNA from 1 species
UACGGAGGGGGCUAGCGUUGUUCGGAAUUACUGGGCGUAAAGCGCGCGUAGGCGGACCUGCAAGUCGGGGGUGAAAGCCCGGGGCUCAACUCCGGAACUGCCUUUAAGACUGCAUCGCUAGAAUUGUGGAGAGGUAAGUGGAAUUCCGAGUGUAGAGGUGAAAUUCGUAGAUAUUCGGAAGAACACCAGUGGCGAAGGCGACUUACUGGACACAUAUUGACGCUGAGGUGCGAAAGCGUGGGGAGCAAACAGG